rnacentral:rRNA from 1 species
CCUACGGGUGGCAGCAGUGAGGAAUAUUGGUCAAUGGGCUUACGCCUGAACCAGCCAAGUCGCGUGAGGGAAGACUGCCCUAUGGGUUGUAAACCUCUUUUGUCAGGGAGCAACGCCGGCUACGUGUAGCCGGACUGAGAGUACCUGAAGAAAAAGCAUCGGCUAACUCCGUGCCAGCAGCCGCGGUAAUACGGAGGAUGCGAGCGUUAUCCGGAUUUAUUGGGUUUAAAGGGAGCGUAGGCCGCAUGUCAAGCGUGCUGUGAAAUGUCCGGGCUCAACCCGGGCCUUGCAGCGCGAACUGGCGUGCUUGAGUCCGCGGAAAGCAGGCGGAAUUCGUCGUGUAGCGGUGAAAUGCUUAGAUAUGACGAAGAACCCCGAUUGCGAAGGCAGCUUGCUGCAGCGGAACUGACGCUGAUGCUCGAAAGCGCGGGUAUCGAACAGGAUUAGAUACCCGGGUAGUC